CAGUAGCCACGGUAAUACGUAGGUCCCGAGCGUUGUCCGGAUUUAUUGGGCGUAAAGCGAGCGCAGGCGGUUAGAUAAGUCUGAAGUUAAAGGCUGUGGCUUAACCAUAGUACGCUUUGGAAGCUGUUUAACUUGAGUGCAAGAGGGGAGAGUGGAAUUCCAUGUGUAGCGGUGAAAUGCGUAGAUAUAUGGAGGAACACCGGUGGCGAAAGCGGCUCUCUGGCUUGUAACUGACGCUGAGGCUCGAAAGCGUGGGGAGCAAACAGGAUUAGAGACCCCCGUAGUCCCUGUCUCUUAUACA
rnacentral:rRNA from 1 species